GACGAACGCUGGCGGCGUGCUUAACACAUGCAAGUCGAACGCUGAAACUUGUUCCUUGCCCUGGUUGGAUGUGUGGCGCACGUGUGUGUAAUAUGUGAGUAACCUGCCCUUGACUCUGUAAUCAGCCUGGGAAACUGUUUCUACUACUUGCUACCACAUGUCACCGCAUGGUGGUGUUUGGAACUGGUUUUAUUGGUUUUGCUUGUGCUCACGUCCUAUGUGCUUGUUGGUGGGGUAAUGGCUCACCAAGGCGACGACGGAUAGCCGGCAUGCGAGGGGGAACGGCGACACUGGGACUGAGAGACGGAGCAGAGUGAAACGGGAGGCAGCAGGGGGGAAUAUUGCACAAUGGGCGGAAGCCUGAGGAAGAGACGUAGGGGGAGGGAAGAAGGCCUGCGGGUAGAAAACCUCUUUCAGCACGGAAGAAGGGAAAGUGACGGUACGUGAAGAAGAAGCACCGGCUAACUACGUG
rnacentral:rRNA from 1 species